GCUCCCCCCUGGCCCUCAGGCAGUGCUGGCACAGGCGCUGGGCGUGCUGGGCAUCGUGAGGAAGGAGCGGCUCCUCUACCUCGUGGGGCAGACCCGGGUUCACCUGGACCGUGUGGAGGGGCUGGGCGACUUCCUGGAGCUGGAGGUGGUGCUGAGGCAGGAGCAGAGUGUGCAGGACGGGGAGCGCGUGGCCCGGGAGCUGCUGCGGGAACUGGGGGUCGGGGAGCACGACCUGAUCUCGGGGGCUUACCUGGACCUGCUCCUGGCCAAGGGGCAGCCGGGCACGGGGGCAGAGCCCCCCCACUGCCACCCCCCGGCUGGGCAGGGACAGCAGAGCUGAGAGCAGCGGGGACACGGCUGUGCCACGGGCACCCUGUGCCCAUCCUACAGCAUCCUGUACCCCCCUAUGGGCAUCCUGUACCCCCCUAUGGGCACCCCGUACCCACCCCAGACACCCUGUGCCCACCCCACAGGCAUCCUGUACCCCCUUAUGGGCACCCUGUACCCGCCCCAGACACCCUGUACCCACCCCAGACACCCUGUGCCCCCCUAUGGGCACCCUGUACCCACCCUACAGACAUCCUGUACCUACCCUACAGACAUCCUGCACCCACCCUGGACAUCCUGUGCCCACCCCGUGGACAGCCUUUAACCACCUAUGGGAACCCUGUACCCCUCGCCAUGGGCACCUCCUGCCCCAUGCCCACCCCAUGGGCACUCUCUACCCUCCCACAGACACCCCCUGCCCCGUACCCACCCUACAGACACCCUGUGCCCACCUCGUGGACACCCAGUACUCCUCCCCUGACACCCCUUGCCCCAUACUCACCCUACAGACAUCCUGUACCCCUGCAGACACCCCGUGCCCACCCCAUGGACACCCUGUACCCCCCCUGUGCCACCCCCUCCCUUGGCUGCUCAAUAAACUCUGGGACCAUC